UACGGGGGGGGGUAAGCGUUGUUCGGAAUUACUGGGCGUAAAGGGCUCGUAGGCGGCCAACUAAGUCGGACGUGAAAUCCCUCAGCUUAACUGGGGAACUGCGUCCGAUACUGGAUGGCUUGGAUUUGGGAGAGGGAUGCGGAAUUCCAGGUGUAGCGGUGAAAUGCGUAGAUAUCUGGAGGAACACCGAUGGCGAAGGCAGCCCCCUGGGCUGACACUGACGCUCAGGCACGAAAGCGUGGGGAGCAAACAGG
rnacentral:rRNA from 1 species